UUUACGAAAGCGAGAAAAUUCUAAAAAACAAAGCUUGCGAUAAAUCAGUUGAACGGAACGGCGCAUCUAAGGGCCCGUCCACAGUCGUAACUCACCUCCACGUUCGAUUUUACUGGCAAUUUAUACGCCAUGAACUGUAGUUGUCAAACGCUGACGUUUGCAUAUCUAAGGAAUAAAAUGAUAGACACGCGAGAGUGGCUCGAGACGAGAUCUUGCGUAUUGUAGUCACGUAAUGUACGGGAGAGACGACUGAGGCGCAAUCUUCGAAGAAAGAAUUACAUUUACUCAAAGUAUAAGAAAAUCUCGAGUAAUUCAAUGCAUACAGGCAAUAAGGAGACAGAGAAAAUGUACUGGAAAUGACAAAUGCUUUGACGUAUUCACGACGUUGUGGAGGUGAGAUCAUCGCAUAUGGCGUCAAACAGGCUACGGUGAGUGACGGCAUGGCACUCGAGGGACUAGGAUUGGCCUCCAGUGCUACAUGGGACAUUCACUAUGUCGCUUCACCGGACAGUGAUUUCUGGAAUACGUAACGCCAGAUGCUUUAAAGAUGUGGUUUAACUCCGAAUGUUGGGUAAAGCAGAACCUAAAAAUUUCAAGAAACCUGUUUCUGUAUUAAACAAAAAAUGUGAAUUUAUUUUUUUACUUUUAAUAACGCCUAACCUAAUAACCUCACAGUUCUAAGUUUUACUAGAUUUGACUUUGCAUAAAUAGCUGAGACAUUUGAUAAAUAAAUCCGCAUCACUAGAGCGUCGCGAACCGAACUUAAAGUUGGUGAUUUAUUUACAGCUUUUCGUAUUGAUCGUGUAUGACGCGAGGCAACGCGAGGCGGGCGGAUCGAGGUCAAGUGGAUAGGAUUCACUCGCUUGUUUGUUUUACAAGUGUAAAUAAUUUUGUAUGUCUCAUCUGAGAUUUACUCUUAAGAGACGCUCGGGGUUCGGGUUUGAAAUUUGUUUGGACGUAAGUACUUAUACUUUGACUUAAAACAGAGAAUGUUUCGUUUUAUUUUUCGUUAUCCGUAAAGAAAUACGUGGGUGCGUCAAAUUUAUAGCUCUUCGUGACUUUUCUCGCAAUCACUUGCUGUUUAUUAUAUUAUGCUGUUUAGUUGGGGAGCUAUCCUCCUACUUUUGAAAUAAUCAAUGUCCUUCUUGAGCAAUCGAAUUUUUUAUUGCUCUGGAAAAAUGACUGGCUUGCCCGUUACUACUGUUUGCUGGUAAUAGCCCCUUUUUUUUUUUCGGGUAGAGGGCCGGACCUCCUACGAGGUUCCCACGCAAAAGGGGCGCGCGGGGUAUGUGAGACUCAACGAUCUGCAUGGUGUUGUGAGCAGACCGCGGGCCCAAGGAUUUUAGGGCCCACCUACUAAACGACUCCCCUGCACUCUUACACCCGACGUCCGAUCCCCUCCGAGGUCAGAGCCCGGAUGAGGUAGGGGGGCUACCGCGGUCAAAACUACAACCAGACGGCGCGGCUCAGCUGGUAAUAGUCCUGACGGUGUCACCAAAGCUGAAGGCUCAAACAGCGUCGUCCUUAGUUUUAAAAUAUUCAGUAUACUUUGAUCAGCACAAUGAUUUGUCAGUGCGAAGUUUGUUCACUAAUGAGGUAUUAUUAAAGUUCCCCUCAAAGUCUCAAUAACAUUGAAAUGAAUAUAAUAUAUUCUUCAUGAAAUUCAGGAACAGCAAAUUAAGCUAGUACCACAAUUGGUGAAAAUGGGUGGCUUAGAGAAUUAUCUUUCGUUAAACCUAAUACUGGGAGAUUUUAUUGGGCACAAAGAGACGAAGUGCAUAUGUUGUUUGCAAAAUAACUGGUAGGUUAUGUGGUACUAACAACACCUUAUGUUCGCAUCUUGACUUUAUAUAGAUGAAAAGUGAAAUCCGAAAUCUAACUUUAGUCGAACAAGAAGCAAAUUAAUAAAUGCCACAAACCCAAUCGUCUCCCAUCAAAUGUAACUUAAUAUUACUUCAAAUUAAAAUCGAAGCCAUAAUUUAAGGCAUGCUAUUGUAUUGCAUCGUAACAGUAGACCGGAGGUAAAUAAUUGAAGUAAUUCUGAGGUCGAAUCGGGUCAAUUAAUCAUUUGAUGCUGUAGCUGAAGUUAUUGGUUUACUUUUUUGAUCAUCCAUAUUGCAUUUUAUAUCUAAUUCGUUUACAUUCGACUAGACGGUUUUCACUCAAAGUUGCAUGGUUUUGUUUGGUAUUAUUUUUGUUCCUUUAAUAACGAUUCCCCCCCCAAUUAUCCCCUUUAUCAAAGAUUUGUAGUGCAUAUAACCAAAUAUGUGCAUUAAUUGACGGCAUUGACAUUUUUAACGACACGUGACAUGGUCUCAAAAACCAAACUAUAAUAGUAUCCUAGUACCUUUGUUUAUAAUUGAUGAGAGAAUGUUAAGUAGUUCUCUUGUUUUCUUCAUGUUCUUUUCAAUAUUUUUUUAUGUCGUACUGUUAAUAUUUAAAUUUGACCUAUUUUUCCGCUGUUUGUAAAAUUGCUGUAACAUGAUAUAGUGUAUAUUAUAAGAGAUUGCUGUACGUGCCUGUAACUGGCUUACAUACCAGUACUUAAUUUUAUACGUGUUAAUUUUAAGCUUGAAUGUUUUGUGUGUAUUGCUGUUGGUGUGUCUAAAUAAAUAAAUUACGUAACGUUAACGUUGAUUCAUUGAUUUACAGUAUUUGUAAUCGCAGACGACUUUGUUAAGUAAAAUAUGAAGUCAAUUAUGUGGUUACCGAAGCUCAUAUAUUAUACUUAUAUCUUUAAAUAUGAGAGUUAUAGCGACUAUCAUACCUUUCAACUGGAACGCACGACUGUUUCAAAACAAAAGCAGGCCAGAUGGUCAAACUCACCCAUGCGCGGCUUACAAUCGGCCUUAUCAUCACUUAUUAUUUAUCCCGGUAUAUACCACGGCAGAUCUACGAAACGUCAACACAUAACAAAAUAAAAACAUGUAAGAUAAUUAAAGAAGAAUCAGCCUUUAUCUAAAAUAUUGAAAAUACAAUUCGAUAAAUGUUUUCUUUGAAGCGAAUACCACACUUAUUAUGGCGUGAUAAAAUUAAAUUCAAUCCAGCGUAUAUUUAGGUAAAAUAAUCAGAAUCAUAAAGUCUUAAUCAUAUAUUUUCAUUAAUGCAAGUAACAUGAUCAGUACGCAUCGGUCAAGGCUCUUUUUCGUUUAACAAGCAUUACACAUACGACGUAUAGGUUUUAUGAAAGAAUCGAAUGUGCAUACAGAAGGCGUUUAACACUGUUUAAUGAAUGAGUCACCGAAACGUAAUGAUCGCUUUAUUUUAUUGAUGAAGCUGUUAAAAUGCUUUGGAGUUAUUCAUAAAUCCGUUUUUUUUUCGUAUUUUAAUACGCAGAUCUCUUUUCCAAAAUAAAAAGGCUUAAAAUACUUUUUAACUUUAUGGCAAGUUAUUUGCGUAUGGUAAAACAACCGUCUUUGUUUUAAAUUAUUAUUAUCUUUAUUUUCCAUUAUAAUACACUUCAAGAGUCAUUCCAAAUUUAAAAUUAAUACGAGCUAUGCGGAAACUCCAAAGAAUCUUCAUGAUAUUUAUUAAGGAUUGGAAGACGCUACAGUCUCCCGAUUGUAUUCAUGGAAGAAAAAAUCAUUACAAAACAUAAUUCUCCAGUAAAACCUAAUUUUGUUACAUAAAAAAUAUAUUUAUGGCCACCCUAUCAAUAUUGAAGUUGAAGAAAACCCAUAAAAUAAUGUAGGGACAUUCCACAUC